GAGAUUUUACUGUUUUAUUAUACCUUUUUAUAAAGCUUAUGUUUUACUUCAUUUAACACGGAAACUAUGUGGAAAUAACUGCUUUUGUAUAACUGCUUGUGAAUCCAGUCUCAACCACUUUUAGAGAAAAACAGGAAAUGCCUAAGGAAUUUGAAACCAGAAGAUCACGCCGUAGUCAUGAGGACGAAGACGUGCAGUGAGUUAGUCUUAAGGGGAAGCACGCCUUUGCUCUUAUUAGAGUUAUGAAAGGGUGUAUUGUGUAAACGAGAGUAUAAAUAAAGAGGGAACUGAUGUCUCAGUGUGAGUCUCCACUGAGAUCACCCAUGUAUAUACAUGUUUGAGUUGUGUCUUUCUUUGCUUGCUGAAAUGAUUCUUUGACAUAUUUUUUGGUCCUCCGAGCCGGAUGGGAAAUAACAACUGUUUUGUUGUGACUCCAAACAAAGAUCUACACUGAUUCCUGACGCCGUGGGAAGCCCGCACUGAAGUCUGUCGACAGCCCUCUCCAGGUAGAGGAGAAAGCCCAGAAGCAUUAAAUUCGGGUUCUGGCCAGUGUUUUAUCAGUGGUCCACGGCGGUGGGAUUCAGUGGAGCGAUCUAACAAAACCGACUGCAGCGAUGUUUCAGUAAGUGUCUUGCAGGUUGAAGCCAGGUGAUUGGAUCCUAAUCAAGGUGCUCCAGAGGAAAAAUUGGAGUUCACCCUGUUGGGAAGGAUCAUACCAAGUGCUUCUAACCACUCCCACAGCAUGUAAGAUCGCGGAGCGACCAUCGUGGAUACAUCAAAGUCACUGCAAGAAAGUGAGUGAGAGCAUAGAUUAACAGACGCCGAUUCCCCUACCUUCUGGUAAUCCAUAAAGUGGAGAAAGGGCCGAUUGGGUACACCCCGCCCUUUACUUCUUGCUUGUGGUCUACUUACCAGAGGAGCUAGGUGUAUCAGGUCAUCAUGAAGCUGCUCUUGAUCUCACUGACAUUGGCAGCCCUGGUCGCAGGAUGUCUAAUACUGCUCAGGAAGAACGAUGAACCUCGCAAGAAAAAAGCCUGGAUACAUGACAACUCACAUCUGGACAAGAUGACCCAAGACAACAAUCACCCAUGGAUGAACAACGCUUGGUAUAGAUAUGUGUACAAUCACACCACAGAAAGAAACUGCUACAUCUGCUCACACAUGCCUGGAACCUCAGUUCACGCAAGUAUCUAUGGCAAAAUACCAGAUCCAUCCCAGAGUAUGUGUAUCAUGUUUAAAGCACUAACAGGGAACUGUACUGACCGGGACAUGGCGGUUCUGAAGGCAACCACAGCCUCACAGAUGAGCUACAAUCUCCCUGCCUGUGAAAAUUCAACCCAGAAAAAUAAACACCUGAGAAGAAGCGACUGUGUGCACCCAUCCUGAUCUCAGACCACACCUUCAAGGUCACUGCCACAUCAAGUAACACCAGAAAGCGACGAGAUGUGACUGAUGUAAAGCCACGACCUAAUAUGGGGUUCUGAUGUGCCAAAGGAAUUCAAACUUUGGACUGAAAGACAAAAGGUUACUCACGCACUCUUCACAUGGCUGGGAGUAGGAAAACACGCUUUAAGAAUAGAGACUCUAAAUUACCGUUUUGGACUGUUUCUGAAUGCUUCCUGCAAGGUCAACAGCGAACAGAACGAAGAAAUAGACGCACUCAGGAUAAUGGUUAUGCAGCAUCAGGUAGCGCUUGAUAUUGUGUUAGCAGAAAAGGGAGGUUUAUGUGUACUUUUUAACACCACUUGUUGUACGUACAUACCUGACAAUAUACAUUCCAGUAACAUGACAGAUGCUUUAAAGAUUUUGAAACAGCUCCAGAAUGUGCAGUCAAAGGAAUAUGUGGAUGGAGGCACUGACUGGCUGAGAUGGUUAUUAAGUGGCUCAUGGAUUGUUUUGUUAUACAAAGGUCUAAUAGUCGUAGGAAUUUUACGCCUGUUAUUUUGUGUAUUUUCAACAUGCAUUCUUCUGUGUUUAAGGAAAAUGAUUACCAAGAUGAUUUUUACAUCAUUAACGGCUUACGUUUCAGUACCAAUGAAUGAAUACAAUGAUGAGGAUGAUCCUGAUGGAGAUGAUGAUUCUGUGUAAAAUGUUGUAAUAUGCAUAAACUAUGGUUCUAAUGACGAAGUGAUCGAAAAGUGAAAAACCAUGAUUAUGUAGACCGCUAAAUUCGUAAAAACAGGAGGGAAUAUGUUAAGAGAUUUUACUGUUUUAUUAUACCUUUUUAUAAAGCUUAUGUUUUACUUCAUUUAACACGGAAACUAUGUGGAAAUAACUGCUUUUGUAUAACUGCUUGUGAAUCCAGUCUCAACCACUUUUAGAGAAAAACAGGAAAUGCCUAAGGAAUUUGAAACCAGAAGAUAACGCCGUAGUCAUGAGGACGAAGACGUGCAGUGAGUUAGUCUUAAGGGGAAGCACGCCUUUGCCCUUAUUAGAGUUAUGAAAGGGUGUAUUGUGUAAACGAGAGUAUAAAUAAAGAGGGAACUGAUGUCUCAGUGUGAGUCUCCACUGAGAUCACCCAUGUAUAUA